rnacentral:tRNA from 1 species
CCCUUCGUAGCUUAAAUUAAGUAAAGCAUUGGCCUUGUAAACCAAAAAUGGGUAUGCAACCCCAAGAGC